UACGUAGGGCGCAAGCGUUGUCCGGAAUUAUUGGGCGUAAAGAGCGUGUAGGCGGCUUGUUAAGUCUUGCGUGAAAUCUCGGGGCUCAACCCCGAGCGGUCGUGAGAAACUGGCAGGCUAGAGUGCGGGAGAGGAGAGUGGAAUUCCCGGUGUAGCGGUGAAAUGCGCAGAUAUCAGGAAGAACACCCGUGGCGAAGGCGGCUCUCUGGAACGCAACUGACGCUGAGACGCGAAAGCGUGGGGAGCAAACAGG
rnacentral:rRNA from 1 species